rnacentral:rRNA from 1 species
CAGUAGCCACGGUAAAACGGAGGGUGCAAGCGUUAUCCGGAUUUAUUGGGUUUAAAGGGUCCGUAGGCGGACUUAUAAGUCAGUGGUGAAAGCCUGUCGCUUAACGAUAGAACUGCCAUUGAUACUGUAAGUCUUGAGUAUAUUUGAGGUAGCUGGAAUAAGUAGUGUAGCGGUGAAAUGCAUAGAUAUUACUUAGAACACCAAUUGCGAAGGCAGGUUACCAAGAUAUAACUGACGCUGAGGGACGAAAGCGUGGGUAGCGAACAGGAUUAGAGACCCCCGUAGUCCCUGUCUCUUAUAC